UUAGUUAAAACCAAAAAGAGGUAUAUUAUUGUUAAUAAUAAAAAUGAACUAGUAUCUAACUAAA
rnacentral:tRNA from 1 species